AUCUAAUUGGCAGAAAAGUGCAUUAAGUUUAAGCCUUAAAUAUAAUUUUCUAAUUAAUAUGUA
rnacentral:tRNA from 1 species